rnacentral:lncRNA from 1 species
GUUGAUGCAUAAAACUGGAACAACAUAAAUCCGACCGUGAAUCUGCAAGAAAUGUAAAUGACACAAGAUGUAUCGUGGUUCACCCCAAGGUUUGGGCUACGUCCACACUGAUUGUAUUAAAAUGUUGAUGCAUAAAACUGGAACAACAUAAAUCCGACCGUGAAUCUGCAAGAAAUGUAAAUGACACAAGAUGUAUCGUGG